rnacentral:rRNA from 1 species
CAGGCCUAACACAUGCAAGUCGAACGAGAAAAGGGGAGCAAUCCUCUGAGUAAAGUGGCGACCGGGUGAGUAACACGUGACUAACCUACCCUCGAGUGUGGAAUAACAUCGGGAAACCGAUGCUAAUACCGCAUAACAUCGCAAGAUCAAAGGAGCAAUCCGCUUGAGGAGGGGGUCGCGGCUGAUUAGCUAGUUGGCGGGGUAACGGCCCACCAAGGCGAAGAUCGGUAGCCGGCCUGAGAGGGCGCACGGCCACACUGGAACUGAAACACGGUCCAGACUCCUACGGGAGGCAGCAGUGGGGAAUUUUGCGCAAUGGGGGAAACCCUGACGCAGCAACGCCGCGUGGAGGAUGAAGCCCCUUGGGGCGUAAACUCCUUUCGACCAAGACGAUAAUGACGGUACUGGUGGAAGAAGCACCGGCUAACUCUGUGCCAGCAGCCGCGGUAAUAC